UUCUGAUUGAGCCGGAGUUCGAAUCCAGGACCCGAAAUAAGGCAAUCGUGCAAAUUGCCCUUACAAAAUUAGUUACCAAUUUUUUAUUUUUUAUUUUUUAAAAUAAGGUCCCAGGGGCUGUUUUAUUAUUAUUAAAAGUAAAUGUCUUGCAAUGCACAAAAUGAAAUCCUAAUAGUAAAGUAGUUCAGGAAAAGAAGAACAAAAGUGAAAUCCCUAAUUGGAAACUAAUUUGAUGUCUUUCCCGUUGGCUUCCCUGGUCGAUCUUUAUAUUGUGGUCUUGUGGUUGAAACUUGUGCGAGUGCUGCUGAUUCGUCUGUUGUUUCUUGAAGAUGUUGUUCUCCAUUCACUUGGAUGCUGGUAUGGCUUACCAUUUGUGUCACCAAUCAAUCUGUUGGUGUCUACAAUCAAUGGGACUGGAGCUGUAAUUGAGAGCAUUUAUGUGCUUUGCAUUUGCACCAAAGAAAGAGAAGAAGUAAAUCUCAGCACUUCUUCUAUUAGUCCUUACUGUUUUCGAUGCAGUAGCCCUUGUUUCCCUGCUCGCUUUACAUGGGAAUAACAGGAAGCUCUUCUGCGGUAUCGCUGCCGCUAUCUUCUCCAUCAUUAUGUAUGGAUCUCCUCUAUCUAUCAUACUAAGUUUCUUACUCUUUCUCCAGCAGUUAUUUAUUUUAUAGUUUUAGUUUUCUUGUCUACACAUCACAAUUUCUGUAAACUUGACAGAAAGGUACGAACUUUAGAUGUUCAGCUGUUUAAGGGUUCCUGUUAGAACGUUACUUAAAAAAAAUAAGCACUUGAACACCAUUAAUUAAAGUUCUUUUUUACCAUUCUCUUGUAAUUUCUGUUAAGUUGAUAGAUAGAUAGGUCCAAACUUUGGAUGUGCAAGAGGUGGUUGGGGGUUAGGAGAAUGUGUUAUUAGAUGUUCAGUUCUAGAUAAGGUGCUCCUGUGUAAUAAGAAAAUGUCCAGAACAUGGAAAAAGAUACGCGCUUUACACCAUUUGUUCUCUUUCCUACACUCAUAUUUGUUCUUAUGCUGAUGGACAAGUUCCAAUUUUGGAUGGAAGUUUGGAUGAUUUUGCUGUUAGAUGUUCAAUUUUCUUAAAAGGGAGCCCUACUUUCGUUACAAAUGGCGAUAGCUCUAAAAAGAUUAAGACACUUCACUUAGGUGUCGUUUUGUUGGGUUUGAAGGGACUUAAUCCCUACGUUAAGUUCCAAAGUAUAGUGUUAUAUCAUGUUUGGUUACUUUUAUUUUUCUCAUAAAUAAAAUUUGCAUAAGCUAUAUGCGAAAAUUUAUAUUUUAUCUUAUACGGGAUAAACAACAACAUACCCAGUGGAAUCCCACAAGUGGGGUCUGGGGAGGGUAGAGUGUACGCUGACCUUACCCUGACCUUACAUAUAAAGAGGCUUAUAUGGAUAAAAUGUUAAAUAAAGAUGAGGGUAUUAAUAAUACAUGCAUUAAAAAUAUUUGCAUAAGCUGAGGUAUAAAAGUGGAUUCCAAGUGUGUUGUGCAAAAUUGAGGAUGAAACUCGAGAUCAUUUGUUUGUUACUUUCCCCUUUGUGGUCAAGGUGGGGUCUGGCUUAUGCAUGGCUACAAAUUCAACAGCCUACAGGGCAGAACUGGACACAAAAUCUGCACUGGUUGCUACACUGAACCAAGGUCAAAAGCCAAGCAGCUAAAGUGGUGAAACUAGUGUAUGCAGAAUUUGUCCAUGCACUGUGGAAGGAGAGAAAUACUAGAGUCUUUGAGCACAAGAGGUUACAGAGGAUGUAAUUGCCAGAAGAAUAGUAUGUCUUUGUAGCGCUCGAGCUCUUGAUGCCAGUAGGACUUUCUCGGAGAAAUGCAUAUUCUAAUUCUAUAGGAGAAAUGCAUAUUCUAAAGCGAAGCCAGAUAGCUUUCUUGAUCAAGCUGGAUGAGUUAUCUGGCUUCGCUUUGUGAAUAUUACUUUGGUGAUUAAUAAAAUGCUUAAUUACCAAAAAAAGAGAAAAAUAAUGUUGAAAUUUUAUAUGAUGAAAGAUAAAUGCAUGGAUUUUUACGCAGUGAAUAAUAAACACUGAUUGUUACAUAUAGAUAUAUUUGUCUAAUUUAAGAGCUUAUUUGUCUUUAAAUUCUCUUAUAAAUGUAUUGCUAUACACGUAUUCUUAUCUUACAUUCUAUCGUAUCUGAAAUAUUUCUCCCGUGCAAAAUAAUGCAUACUAUAAAAGAAAAAGGAAUUACUCUCUAACAAAUUAUGUCGUUAAAUAGCAAAAUUCUGUUGGUAUCCUAUUAUUCAGAUUGGCGAAAAAUUGUAGUUAAUUUCUUUUUGUAGUAAUUAGUUGCAUGUAUAACAUAUAUUAAUGUUAAAUUAUGUUGAUUCUCGUAUAAGUUAUACCAGAAUUAGUAUAUACCAUUUGGUUUACGGUAGUAGACUCGGAAUAGUGUAAUUCUGAUUUAAUGCUUGAAACGACACGACAAAUUAAUCAUGCAUGAUUUUAUAAAAUAAACGAAAUAUUGUGUGACUGAUACGAAACUUUAUAUGGAAUUUUCCUAAAACUACUCGAUCCUUUAGGGUUUAAACUUCUCAAAAGAGAUUGAAUCUCAAUAUACAUUAGGAGUUAAUUAGCUUAUAAAAUUAGAGACAGUAUAUAGUAGCUCGUAUAAGAAUCACUUUUUGCAAAAGAAGUAAGUAGUUCUUUGAUAAUGAUGAUUAGUUUUUAAUUAGUCAUAAAUAUACUCCUAUCAUGAUUAAUUAGAAUCCAAAAUGGAAGCCACGGAAAAGAAAAAGGCCUUAGAUGAAUAACAAAUUAAAGAAACGCAUCAAGUAACUCUAAUAUUAGAUGAAGUUGAGAACUUCUCAACAUCUUAUUUAUUAUUAUUAUUAUUCAUAGACAUAGGGAAGAAAAGGGUUACAAUAAGAGCUGCCACUUUAUUCGUUACUACUAGAUAAUAUUAUUAAGUGCAAAUUAUAAUGCACUAUAUUUAGUGGCAAAUAGCUCCAUCUCCCCUCAUUUUCAUUCACUUCUCUCCAGCAGCACCAGCAGUAGCUGCUUCCUCAGAUCCUUCUUUUGGCUUUGGCUUGGCUUGUUCCUGAAAUAUUAUUAGCUCCCUUAGAAUCUGAUUUUCAUUUUUUUUUUUAAAAUUCCAAUUACGUCAUAAAUUGUGUCCAAAGAGUAGUAAUCCAAUUUUUAUUUUGUUGUUAUUAAAAGCUCAUAAAUUGUUUAUUUUUUAUUUUUUUUAUUGAAUGAGGAUAGGGGUGGGUUUUUGGAAGGGGUGUGGGGUAAAUUGGACACUCAACCUGUGCAUCCUCACGGUUUUUCACAACAAACUGGUUUUUCUCAAGAAACUGGGUUAAAGACUUCAAUGCUGCUUCCUGAAAAGAACUUGAAAGGAUAGUUGUUAGUAUUCUAUUUACUAAUAAGCCAAAAUAACUAAAGAUGAAGCUGAUUUCAUUGAUAUGGUCACAUAACUUUCAAAUAUUACACCAGUAAGCUAUGUUUUGUGACAUAGAAAUCAAUCAAUCUUGAUUUAAGCAUGACAGAAAGUUACUAAGUAUUAAUUUAUUUCUAAUUAAAAAGUCAUUAAACUUGACCUAAAUAUCACAUAAAAUGCUUCUUUUAUUUCUUCAAAAUAACUUUUUAUGAUUUUUAAGCAAAGCUGAGUAACUUUUACAAAAAAUAGUUUAGUGACUUUCAUUAUAUUUUGAUAAAAUUAAAUAAUUUUUUUCUUUAAAAACCAAUCUAGUGAUUGUGUGCAAUAAAACAAAAAUUAAGUGACCAUCUAUGAAAUCAAUCCCAAAAGAAUGUUAGAAAGAAAUUAUAAAGUGAAAAAGAAAAGACAUAAAAAAGAAACAAACCCUUGCAAGGACGAGUUCAUCAGAGAAAUUUCUUUCUGACUUACUGGAGGUACCUGGGAGAGGUGGUUUUUGAUUUUCCAUUUUCUAGAACUCAGAGGGAAAAAGAGGAAAAGAUUAGAGAGAACUAUUGUUUGUUUAGAGAAAAGCAAUGUUGGUUGUUUGGGGCAGUGAAGGAAGGGGCUGCAUAUAUAGUGAUCAUUGCUCAAUUACAACUUGACAGACACUUACUAACGUGUGUGUCUGCAUGUUUAUCUUUUAAAUUGCACUGUUUUAACAACUUAGUUUAUUUGUUUUUGUUUUUUCAUAUCUGUUGGUGUCUACAAUUUAUGGGGCUGGAGCUGUAAUUGAGGCCAUUUAUGUGCUGGUCUUCUAUUAGACCUUUUUUGUUUUUGCUGUUGUAGCUCUCGUUUCCAUGCUCGCUUCGCAUGGAAAUAGCAGAAAACUCUGCUGCGUUAUCGCUGCCACUAUCUUCUCUACCAUUAUGUAUGGAUCUCCUCUAUCAAUCAUACUAUAAACUCGAGAACAAUUUUAUGUAUACAGAGACUGGUCAUCAAGACGAAGAGCGUGGAGUUCAUGCCAUUGUUCUUGUUCCUAUGUGGCGCUUCCUGCUUCGCCUUUGGCCUUCUUGGCAAGGGCCCCUUUGUUGCUAUUCCGCAUGGAUUUGACUUUGGCUUAGGAACAGUUGCAACUUAUCUUAUAUGCAAUAUACUGUGACAAGAAGGGAUCUACCUAGAAAACGACCCCUGAUGAGUCCUUGGAGAUGAGAAAUAACAAAAGUACUUAGCAAGUCUCACCAUGAGGAGAAACAAUCUUAGCUUCCAUAACAAGUCAAAACCUGAGCAAGUUUAGACAAAUGCUUAAUUCUCGAAUGAUGUUCUGGAUUUGUUUUUUUUUUUUUUUAGGUGCUAAUACCCUUUUGAUUUUCUUUAGAGAUCUUUGACAUCUGUUUGUUCUAUUUAAAUUUGGACUAGUUCUCAGAUGUUUUUUUACACUUUUUCUCCUCAUUGCGGCUGAAAUAAACCACGAUCCUUCUUUUUGUUCUUUGGUUUCUUCUGGUGAAUGCCUUAUUAUUCAGAGAAAUCUUGUAAGCUGAACUUAGAUUUUAUUUCCUUUUCCCCCCCUCAAAAGGUUCA